UGCAUAAUGUAGAUCAAACCGUGGGAGAACUCUAUCUUGCUUGCCACUAUGUCAAUGGUGAUUUUCCUAUUGGUGCAAGUCACUGCAUUAACAUGCUUCAGUUGAGCCAAUUGCAAUUUCCACAGACUAGCCUAAUUGAUUUUCAUCAAUGACUUUUGUGCACCCAUUGAUGAACUUCUUCAUUCAAUUGUAUACUGCUCGUCAUGAUAAUAUGUACAGACUAUAUAUAGGAACCAAUUCUUUGUGAAUGUCCUUCACAGCAAGUUCUUUCACUGACAAAAUCUAUACAACAGACUGCUGCUCUUUGAUUGUGCACUCUUUCAAAAUGGUCAGCAUGAUGAUGUGGACACAGUACCCCCUGUAUCUACUGCAGGAAUUUCAACAAUUCCUUCCUGUAAGUCAAGAGUUGUUCUUUUACAUGAUACAGUCAACACAUUCAUGCCCAAUGCCAUCAGGUUCCUACACACUUUUAUACAUAUAUGGUCC
rnacentral:lncRNA from 1 species